rnacentral:rRNA from 1 species
UCCUGGCUCAGGAUGAACGCUAGCUACAGGCUUAACACAUGCAAGUCGAGGGGAAACGGCAUUAAGUGCUUGCACUUUUUUGGACGUCGACCGGCGCACGGGUGAGUAACGCGUAUCCAACCUUCCCAUGACUAAGGGAUAACCUGCCGAAAGGCAGACUAAUACCUUAUGGUCUUCACUGACGGCAUCAGAUGUGAAGUAAAGAUUUAUCGGUUAUGGAUGGGGAUGCGUCUGAUUAGCUUGUUGGCGGGGUAACGGCCCACCAAGGCAACGAUCAGUAGGGGUUCUGAGAGGAAGGUCCCCCACAUUGGAACUGAGACACGGUCCAAACUCCUACGGGAGGCAGCAGUGAGGAAUAUUGGUCAAUGGGCGAGAGCCUGAACCAGCCAAGUAGCGUGCAGGAUGACGGCCCUAUGGGUUGUAAACUGCUUUUGUAUGGGGAUAAAGUCAAUCACGUGUGAUUGUUUGCAGGUACCAUACGAAUAAGGACCGGCUAAUUCC